CUCUGAUAAUGAAAACCACCAUCGUCCACAUCAUCCUCUGAGUCAUUUAACUGGCACUCAACUGGCAACAAAUCUUCACUUUCAUUGUUCAUCACUAGAAUGCAAAAAGACCAGGGUUAAUGUUUGGUACAUACAUAUUCGGCCUAAGGUAUUGCAACAAAAGUAUGACUAGGGCUUCAGUGACUAAUUAAAAUAUUGACUAUUUCAAAAUAUUCAGCUUAGAAUCAUUAAAAUAAACAUCCUUUUUUUUUUCUUUUUUUAACUAUAUGCCCAUGAGGAAACAAAGCAUGUUCCAACAAUAUAGUAUAAAAAGUUACCUUCUUGUGGUCUUUCUUGCUCAUCUUCCAACAAUGCAUCUUCCAUACAAUUAUUGUCCAUAUGAGGGCCUAUGGGUCACCUAUACCCUCCAUUAUGCAGACAACAGAAGAAUCUCAAGCCUAAAACUUUGAUUUCAAGGAGAAUUUUGAAGAAAUAGAUAGGUUCUCUCUUAAUUUUCUCUUCCAGGGCAGAAGUGUCAUGAAUAAUGGUAGAAGGCGUGAUUUUAAGAGAAGAAACGUCGUGGUUUUAAUUCCAAGUUGUCAAGAUUUAACAGAGAAAGUUUGCCACGUUUGAUUAAUGUUAUCCACGUGUAAUUUUCUGUUUAUUUGGAGAGAAAGAAGUUUAACGAGUGGUGGAUGGAUAAUUCUUUGGAAAGAUGAGUGACCAAUGGGUAACCCGUCAAAGAUAAGUGAGUGGGUGGUAACAAUUUUAAAAUUCAGUGAUGAUUGAUUAAAUUUACUUAACAUUUAUGGUAGCAACUUUUGAAAUACCUCAAACAUGUUGGGCAAAAAUGAAACUUAAUAAUAAGCUUUUAAACUCAGCCAAACAUGUGAAUCCGUUUCUUAUCAUCAAAACCGUUAUUGUUCAUGAUAUCAGAAGUUUUUGUAUUUUAAUUUGAAGGUUUACAUGUUCCUGAUGCUUUUCUUGACUGUCUUGUGCUGCUGCUAUUAAGCAGAAAGAAUUACUGUAAGGAGCCUCUGAGUCUGGUGGUGCCAUGGCAAGUUGAUUUCCGCUAUGUUCAAUUGAUUACUCAAGACACAAGGUACCAUUUGUUUUAUUCCUUCCAAACACUGAAAUAUCUGGUCCUAGGUUCCUUGUUGGGACAGUCAUUAGAUAUAUACAGAAGAGAUUUUCAGCAUUCUUUCUUUGUGCAAGUGCAGCAUGUUCAAAAGCAAUGAAAUAGUAAUACAAAUUUUUUAUUUACAGUAGUCAAUUUGGAAACUGAAAUUAGAAAAGCUUGGAAGUAAAAUCCAUUUUUAUCUUCUUUCAAAUCUGAAACGUCCCUUUUAGCUUAAACUUUAGG
rnacentral:lncRNA from 1 species